AAAGGUAGAGCUCCAUGGUAGAGCACAUGCUUAGCAUGCAUGAGGUCCUGGGUUCAAUCCCCAGUACAUCCA
rnacentral:tRNA from 1 species